UACGUAGGUGGCAAGCGUUGUUCGGAAUUAUUGGGCGUAAAGGGCGCGUAGGCGGUUUGUUAAGUCGGUCGUGAAAGCCCGGGGCUCAACCCCGGAGGGUCGACCGAUACUGGCAGACUAGAGUACAGAAGAGGUAACUGGAAUUCCCGGUGUAGCGGUGAAAUGCGUAGAUAUCGUAAGGAAGACCAGUGGCGAAGGCGGGUCUCUGGACAGUUCCUGACGCUGAGGCACGAAGGUCAGGGGAGCAAACGGG
rnacentral:rRNA from 1 species